rnacentral:lncRNA from 1 species
UUCUUUAAACGCUGUGAAAAGGUUAUUAACUGGUUAAAACAAACUAUAGUUGGUACUACAUAAUCAAUCUCGAUCAAUUGGGGAUGGUGCAGCUAGGUUUAGACGAUGAGAUAGGCGAUUUCGAGAUCCAGACUUUCCCCGCCUCUGACGCUCCCUCACCGGCCAUCUAAGACACCACGCCGGCUCCAGGAUCACAAGGGAGACUAAGCUACACUCCUUGUGAUCCCUCUGUUCUUAUCGAUCUUCUUCUCGGCGAAUCUUGUCGUCCCACCCUCUGGCUCCCUAGCCAAGUAACCAAAUAUUCUCACAAUAUUUUCUUUCCGUUUUCAGCCGAGAGCCUCUCACCGUCCUCCACAAAACCCUAAAGCUAACCCCUAGCCC